GCAGAUCCAGCCGCCCGGCCGCACAGCAUUGCACAGUGCCAGGCCUCAUAAAACAUCCUGUGCCAGAGCAAAUGUCCUCCUUACCAUCACAGACGGGAUUACAGUAAGAGGUGACACCAGUACGUAGAUAACAGAGCAUUUCCAGUAGAGGUGACCCUACCUUAAGGCUCUCUCCAGAAACAAAUUCUACAAAAUAGUCAUUUGGACAAAUGUUUCCAGUCACUGGCAGCAAGCAGAGAUGUUCCAGCAGAGAAAUCAGAGAGAAGGUGCACAGAGGGGCAGCCUGUUAGGGAUCCUGGUUCAAAGAGUGCCUGCAGCAGCUGAGAGGAAUCUGCCAGUAGGUUGAACAAGAUCCAGUACUGGUAGCAGGAAAGCCUCAGGGAGCAGUAAAGAGAACUUGAGGCUGGACUGACCUGAUUUAUAGCCUGUGCAAGGAAAGAUUUCAUACUUCCAAGAGGGGAAAAAGUAUUGCCUUCACGUGCAGACCAGCUCUGAAUUUUUGGACGCUCCGUCAGCUCCAGUAAGCAUCACGUGCACUUUUCACAGAGAAGAUCUUCAGUUCCACAAUUGCCCA